UACACUCCUGCGGGAGGCAGCAGUGGGGAAUAUUGCACAAUGGGCGCAAGCCUGAUGCAGCCAUGCCGCGUGUAUGAAGAAGGCCUUCGGGUUGUAAAGUACUUUCAGCGGGGAGGAAGGUGUUGAGGUUAAUAACCUCAGCAAUUGACGUUACCCGCAGAAGAAGCACCGGCUAACUCCGUGCCAGCAGCCGCGGUAAUACGGAGGGUGCAAGCGUUAAUCGGAAUUACUGGGCGUAAAGCGCACGCAGGCGGUCUGUCAAGUCGGAUGUGAAAUCCCCGGGCUCAACCUGGGAACUGCAUUCGAAACUGGCAGGCUAGAGUCUUGUAGAGGGGGGUAGAAUUCCAGGUGUAGCGGUGAAAUGCGUAGAGAUCUGGAGGAAUACCGGUGGCGAAGGCGGCCCCCUGGACAAAGACUGACGCUCAGGUGCGAAAGCGUGGGGAGCAAACAGGAUUAGAAACCCUAGUAGUCCCAUG
rnacentral:rRNA from 1 species